CAUAAAUGAAGGUCAGAAAUUUGCAAAUGGUUAACAUUAUUUAAUUAUUCUCCAAGAGGGAAUUGUUAAAUAGAGAAAGAACACAAUAUACCCAAUAAAAGAAAAGAAAAGAAAGCAUCAGGAAGAGAACACUGUAGCAGCUUUGAUCUCAGGAGGAGUUUUGUAGAGGAGCUUGCAUCUCUGCAGGUGGAGAACCCGCUGGUGGUGCUUGUGGAGAAGAAACACCAUGUGGCCACUGGCCCCACCCAUGACGCGCUGAAACCCAGCAUCAUGCAGGACCAUGUGACUGAGAAAACCCCAUUUCAUUUUCUGGUUAAACAAACAGUAGUUAUCACUCUUCCUAAGUUUUGAUGUGUUCAGGCUGGUACUUAUGAUGUAAAGAACUAAGUUCAUAUCUUUUGAGGAACUGAGAAUCCAAAAGAGAAGAAAUUUGUGAAGGAUGUACCAUGCAAACCUGGGCUUGAUCCUCCUCCAGUUGGACUGUCCGGACUGAUGCUGAUGGCCUGGACCACCGUGAGGAGAGUGCUGGUGCAAAUAGACAGGCCCCGGGCUACCCUCUCAAGUUCUCUCUUCAACUUUCCAAACAAAUCAGAUAUGGGAUCACUCUUUGAGACAUCUGAAAAGCUACUUCCUUUUCAUCUGACUGAGGAAGGGAGAUGAAUGCAAGGUGAGCAUCUUAUGCAAAGACCAACCCCAGAGCUCGGUGAUGAUUCUCACACCUGAGUGGAAGGACAGAGAUGCCCAAGCAUUUCUUGUGACAGCUGCUGGUCCUCAUCUCUUUCAUCUUAGCCCCAGUUGGGACAAUGGAGGGGCCAUUACCCAUAGACACCCUCACCCGCUCCAGGGGAAAGACAGCAAAUUUGUGUG
rnacentral:lncRNA from 1 species